rnacentral:rRNA from 1 species
AUUGAACGCUGGCGGCAGGCCUAACACAUGCAAGUCGAGCGAGCGGCGGACGGGUGAGUAAGGUAGGGGGACUGCCCGAUAGAGGGGGAUAACUACUGGAAACGGUAGGUAAUACCGCAUUCUAUCCGAUAACCCAGUUGGGAUUAGCUAGUAGGUGAGGUAAUGGCCCACCUAGGCGACGAUCCCUAGCUGGUCUGAGAGGAUGAUAGGCCACACUGGGACUGAGACACGGCCCAGACUCCUACGGAGGCAGCAGUGGGGAAUAUUGCACAAUGGGCGCAAGCCUGAUGCAGCCAUGCCGCGUGUAUGAAGAAGGCCCUAGGGUUGUAAAGUACUUUCAGUCGGGAGGCGUUACCGACAGAAGAAGCACCGGCUAACUCCGUGCCAGCAGCCGCGGUAAUUC